rnacentral:rRNA from 1 species
AGUGAACGCUGGCGGUAGGCCUAACACAUGCAAGUCGAACGGCAGCACAGUAAGAGCUUGCUCUUACGGGUGGCGAGUGGCGGACGGGUGAGGAAUACAUCGGAAUCUACUUUUUCGUGGGGGAUAACGUAGGGAAACUUACGCUAAUACCUCAUACGACCUACGGGUGAAAGCAGGGGAUCUUCGGACCUUUCGCGAUUGAAUGAGCCGAUGUCGGAUUAGCUAGUUGGCGGGGUAAAGGCCCACCAAGGCGACGAUCCGUAGCUGGUCUGAGAGGAUGAUCAGCCACACUGGAACUGAGACACGGUCCAGACUCCUACGGGAGGCAGCAGUGGGGAAUAUUGGACAAAGGGCGCAAGCCUGAUCCAGCAAUACCGCGUGGGUGAAGAAGGCCUUCGGGUUGUAAAGCCCUUUUGUUGGGAAAGAAAAGCAGCAGGUUAAUACCCCGCUGUCCUGACGGUACCCAAAGAAUAAGCACCGGCUAACUUCGUG